rnacentral:rRNA from 1 species
UACGUAGGGGUGCGAGCGUUGUCCGGAAUUACUGGGCGUAAAGCGCACGUAGGCGGGUCUUUAAGUCAGGGGUGAAAUCCCGGAGCUCAACUCCGGAACUGCCUUUGAUACUGAGGAUCUUGAGUUCGAGAGAGGUGAGUGGAACUGCGAGUGUAGAGGUGAAAUUCGUAGAUAUUCGCAAGAACACCAGUGGCGAAGGCGGCUCACUGGCUCGAUACUGACGCUGAGGUGCGAAAGCGUGGGGAGCAAACAGG